GUGUGGACGAAAUGUAGAGAUGACACAUGUGUGGCCGUUAUCAUUUGGGUUAUUCUUUCUUCCAAAUUUCGAUAGUCUGUCACAAAUUGAUUUGUGGGAACGCAAUCUGUAUGGGAAGAUUAUAUUAGGAUCAAUAUGGGAGCACUUGGGCGGGAGGCCCUAGGUGCAGAUGUUAUGUGUGAGGAGCUGAGGGGCAGAGAAAGAUGGGAUGUCUUCUAAUUCUUUGCUUGAUUAAAUCUCAUGGUGGCUACCUCAUAUAUAUAGAGGGUCUGCCUUAAAAACCGACUCCGAGUCUCUGACUCCAUGUCUAAUACGAACUAACCUAUGGCCUAUUCUAUAUGAAUUAACCUGUAGCUUUCCUAUCAAUGGUAAUUCUACUCAAGGACUCUGCUUGCAGUAGCAAUCCUCCCAUCAAUAGGAAUUCUUCAUGUUGAUGUGUUCUCCUAAUCUGGAGGAUUAGCAGGAGCGGAUUUGUCUUGUAUUGGUGUUAUCUCUAAACUAGACUGCGGGGGUGCCGAGCGGUGACCACAACGACUAUAUGUUAACAUAGUCAAAAUUAGUGUUCAAGUUUGUGUAUUCAACACCUUGGAGCUCGUGAACUAUGGCAGACUGCUCAUCCACCAGCACUGCAGGUAGUGCUGGCAUGUUGGCUUAUGUGUUAACUGGUAUUGGUGUUAUCUCUAAACUAGACUGCGGGGGUGCCGAGCGGCGGACCACAACGACUAUAUGUCUGCCCCCACAUAACAUAGUCAAAAUUAGUGUUCAAGUUUGUGUAUUCAACACCUUCGAGCUCGUGAACUAUGGCAGACUGCUCAUCCACCAGCACUGCAGGUAGUGCUGGCAUGUUGGCUUAUGUGUUAACUGGUAAGGGUUGGAUUUUCUAAAAUGAUCUGACCAGCAAACCUUCCCAAAUUACUAAUCUAACUGGCCCCUUACAUCUAUGACCCAAUAAUUGGUAGCACUGCCACUACCUUACGUGGGCUGCAGGCUAUAAUUUGGCAGGGUAAUUAACUAAAUAUAGAACCUUGCCGAUGUGCUCUGGAUGAGAAUUUUCCACCAAUUAAUAUCACCAAAAUUCAGUUCAAGCUCCAAAAGGUUGAGUCAAUAUGAAAUUUAGUCACCAUUUAAGCCCAUGUUUUAGCAAGCUUCGCAGAUCAAACCAUCAAGAAGCAAACCAGGCAAAAGUUUUGAAAUAACAAUCAAUUAAAUAUUUCAGCGGACCACAACUGGUAUUAAAAGAAUGACAAAAGCAAACAAAGAGUACCAUCU
rnacentral:lncRNA from 1 species